UCCAAUGGAAUCAGAUGGCAUCACUGCA
rnacentral:piRNA from 1 species